rnacentral:lncRNA from 1 species
AAAACCAUCUGCCUUUCCAAUACAUUAUAGGUCAUUUUGACUAAAACCCUAAUUUUAGGUCAACUUCCCAAGGACAUAACUCAUUCAUUUUUUAUGAUUUUGAGGUGGGAUCAAAUGAAUUGGAAAGCUUAAGAUGUCUAAUUCAAAUGUUAUGUUGAUCAAAAUCCCAAAAUCUCAAACUAAACACAUGUGAUAAUGCAAGACAUUAUAGGUCCUUUUUGGCCAAAGGCAUUAAAAG